ensembl:snoRNA
AUCCUUUUGUAGUUCAUAAGCAUGGUGAUUGGGUGUCCACACUCUUGUGUGAGAUAUGCCUCCCACAAACUUUGUUACGACACAUGAAAUGAAAACAUAUGCCC